CUUCUUCCUUCUCUUUUCCCACUUCCUCUUCUUCAUAUUACCCUCGUUUUGCUUCUACCGGAUUCCCUCUCCUCCAAUCAUUUGGACCGAAACCCAUCACACCCAUUUGCAAAAGAUCAAAUUUUUGCACCUUCAAAGGCUCAAACACUGUUCACCAAAUUAAGUGUAACUGUCAAGAUUAUCGAACUAACCAUGAAUGAGUUCCUUCUUUCUCACAUUCAUGGUCUAGUUCAAUAACCUUGACAGUAACACCUUCAAAGGCUCAAACACUCUGAGAAGAAGGAAAAGUUCGUACCUUGGAGCUACCAACAAAAAAAAAUGACCAUAGGUGGGGAUAGUUUGCUUCAGGUUGUUGAGGAAGAAGAAGAUUCUCCUCCUGAGUCUGCUUUGCUUGAUCCUGAGAACAAUUCUAGGCCAAGAAGAAUCGCACUUUUCGUUGGGCCUUCUCCAUUUGCCUACACUCAUAUGAAGAGGAAAUCAUCAAGAAUUGGAGAUCUGCUUUAAAGAAGGCAGCAAACUUUGGUGGAUUUCAUUAUACAUCCAAAUACCGAGAUGUUGGGACUUGGGACGACUUGAGGUCAAUGUCUUUCAGCUAACAAAUCCAUAGUCGGAAGUCUUUCAUGCUGAGCACACCAUAGGAAAAGGAGGACUUUUGUUGGAGCUUUAAUCUUCCAGGGAUUGAGCUUUAAGAGUUCCCUUGAGCAUUUUUGCUUAAAAGCCUUCCACAAAAGCUAUCCUGACAAGGGAUAUGAAAAGCUUCCCUUGCGCCAAAACUUCCCUCUGCGGUGCCCAUUUUACGAUUCUACCCUUCUCUCUUGCUGCACUUUCCACUUCUUCCAGAAUUGACUUGAUAGUUUAUGGUCUUAUCACCCAUAGAAACCUCUGUUCGUUGUUUGCUAAGCCGUAGGCCACUUCGAUUAGUUCCUUCUCGUCCCAGCUCGCUAUGCUUUCUAAACUGACGUACACAACUGAACGCGGCUGAACGAACAACUGAACGCGGCUGAACGAACAAGAGCUGCUUUCAGUUCUGUAUGCUAGUUUAGGAAGCAUAGCAAGUUGGGAAGAGAAGGAACUAAUCGAAGUAGCGUACGACUUAGCAAACAGCGAACAGAGGUUUCUAUGGGUGAUAAGACCAGAAACGAUCAAGUCAAUUCCGGAAGAAGUGAAAAGUGCGGCGAGAGAGAAGGGUAGAAUAGUAAAAUGGGCACCGCAGAAUAAGAUAUUAUAAUUUGCUUUUACUUUGAGGGCUAUAUUGUCACAAUUCAUUGAGUAACAAAUGCAAGGAUAUGAAUAAUUCCACAGGGCUGGAUUUCAGAAAUCUAACAUGAAAAGAUUGCCUCACCAUUGGCACCAGAGUUGGAUUCAGAAUAUUUAAUACCAAUACAGGAAGGCUUUUUCACCAAACAUGUGUUGGAGGUUUUAUUAUUGUUGAGAUAUUGUUCAGCUCAAGUCUUCUUGCUAUUGUUGGUGUUGGUGAUAAGACUCGUUCUCAUUUUACAAGACAAGGCAUAUACAUAUAUGAAUUAAAUAGUCUCACAGUCUUGGAGACUAUUGACACACUGCCAAACAUUGAUGAGGCUGGAAUUAAUACUGAUGAGAUUCCGUUCAAUUAGUAGAGUUUGUGAUAAGCACUACUUUUGUAAUGGGUGCAUGUCUAAUUUUUAUAAAUUGUGUUCUUGCAUAUAUAGCAUUGACAGUACUAAAAAUAACAGUGUAGAACCUCUCAUUUUGAUAUCUUGUAUUAUCCAUAUGGUUAUUUGGUAAAACUUUCUUCACAGAGCUUUGUGCAUUUUCCACUUCUUGGGAUUAUCCUGUUUGAAUAUAUGUAUCUUUUAAUUUGUUAAUGAUAUUCGUGGCAAAAAGAAGAUACCUUAUGUCUUUAAGAAGAUAUUUGUUAAUGGUAUUUGUUUUCUUUUUUGGUAUUGGAAAAGAAUCUUUAAGAUUUUGAAAUAUAGAAAGAACACGGAAAUUGUAACACACACAAUUGGAGUGGUUCAGAUGUCAGAGAGCAGAAGGAGCUUCAGUAACAGUUGAAAUAGAACAACUUUACUACCAGCUGUUGGGUUGACUCAGAAGAAGAAUGAAAGAAAGUUAGUUACUUCAUCAAAAGUUAUUAUUAAUUAACCCCUGUAUAUAUAUUAGGGACGAUGCAAGUGCCUGCGAUAUACAACAUUUAUGGUGGUGUUUUCAUUCCAUCCUUUAAAGUUCAACUCAACAGGGAAUUUGAAAAUGUGCAUGCAUUACUAAUUACUAGUACAUACCAGAUUUUUCAUGUAAAUAUCAGAAUAAGCUAUAUACUUAGUCCCAUAAAUGUAUGUAUUUGGGUUCCUGGUGAUUAGGAGCUGCUUCUGAAUAAAGUGUGCCUAAUUUCAUUUAUGAUGUUAUUGAAAUAUACUUAUUUAUUUGCUGAGGCAGCAAGGGGGAACACUGCAUUAGCUUUUCCAACAUUAGCAAAAGCUUCAUGGCUCUAAUUCCACCUUGUAGUACAAACUGAUGUACCUACAUUCACUUUUGUGUAUCUCAAUCUCUGUCUGAAUACUGGACAAUAAUGUGGAUGGAUAGUAUGAAAGGCAAUUCAGGAAUUCUUGCAUCUGAUAUCAUCCCCUAAGUAAACAGUAUAAGGGAAAUUCUGCUUUU